ACUCCUCCGGGUCUCCAUUUGGCCAGCUGCGGUUGAUUUUUUUUUAUUUUCCGAGAAUUUCCAGGAGUGGAAGAGACUGUGGCUUCCCUAAUUGCUUGUUCUGGAGAUCAUAAUCAACAGAGAAGUCAGUCUAGUUUAUCAUCCAAGAAAUCCUUCCCUUCCUUCCAUUAGCCAAUUAAGAAAUUUACAGACACCUACCCAUCACAAGGUACAUCAUUUUUCUGCACGGAAUACUAUUAUUGCUCUAUUUGUCUUUUCCUGUGACUGGGGCCUUUGGCAUUGCAUUAUGUUAUCAGCGGCCUUCAUUACUUUGUUGAGAAGUGGUGGGAAUCAGGUGAAGAAGAGAGUGUUGUUAAGCUCCAUCCUCCUGCAGGACCACAGGCAGGCGACUCCUGCCUGCUACUUCUCCACUUCAGAGGCCAGGUGUUCUCGGUUUGAUCCAGAUGGAAGUGGGCAGCCAGCCACUUGGGACAAUUUUGGGAUCUGGGAUAACCGCAUUGAUGAGCCAAUUCUGCUGCCACCUAGCAUCAAGUACGGCAAACCAAUUCCCAAAAUUAGCCUGGAGAACGUGGGCUGUGCCUCUCUCAUUGGCAAACGGAAAGAAAACGAAGAUCGAUUUGGGUUUGCACAGCUGACAGAAGAGGUGCUAUACUUCGCAGUCUAUGAUGGACAUGGGGGCCCUGCAGCCGCUGACUUCUGUCACACACACAUGGAGAAAUGUGUUAUGGAUUUGCUUCCUCGGGAGAAAGACUUGGAAACUGUCCUGACCUUGGCCUUUCUAGAAAUAGAUAAAGCCUUCGCGAGUUAUGCCCACCUGUCUGCAGAUGCUCUUUCUCUGCUUCCCCCUGUGUUGCAGGUUUGUUGUGUCUGAGCACAAUUUCUGGGUGAAAUUCCUGUUUGCCUCUGUGCGGGUUGUUUGUGGCAGAGAACUGUGCCUGCUCAGCUGCUCUAGACCUGGAGCCUGUGGACGCUCUAUGCCGGGCUUCAGUGGAAAAGAGAUCUGCUUAAUUUUGUCUCAGGUGAAGGAGUCCAGCAGUUCCUAGUCUGAACUACUGGAAGGGUCCCGCAUCCUCUUUGUGCCAUUAGUUGAGAUGACUUGCAGAAGAAAUUAUCCACAAGCCUCCUGACCUCUGGGACUACUGCAACAGUAGCCCUGUUGAGAGAUGGUGUUGAACUGGUGGUAGCCAGUGUUGGAGACAGCCGGGCUCUUUUGUGUAGAAAAGGAAAACCCAUGAAGCUGACCACUGACCAUACCCCAGAAAGAAAAGAUGAGAAAGAAAGGAUCAAGAAAUUCGGUGGGUUUGUAGCUUGGAAUAGUUUGGGACAGCCCCAUGUAAAUGGCAGACUUGCAAUGACAAGGAGUAUCGGAGAUUUGGAUCUUAAAGCCAGUGGGGUAAUUGCAGAACCUGAGACAACAAGGAUUAAGCUCUACCAUGCUGACGACAGUUUCCUGGUCCUUACCACAGAUGGGAUUAACUUCAUGGUGAAUAGUCAAGAGAUCUGCGACUUUGUCAACCAGUGCCACGAUCCUAAAGAAGCAGCUCAUUCGGUGACUGAGCAGGCAAUACAGUACGGUACCGAAGACAACAGCACUGCAGUAGUGGUGCCCUUUGGUGCUUGGGGAAAAUACAAGAACUCUGAAAUUACCUUCUCAUUCAGCAGAAGCUUUGCCUCCAGUGGGAGAUGGGCCUGAUCGACAGCUCAGACUCGGAGUUCCUAUGCAGCAGUGUCAGUGGGCUUAUCAAGAAACUGGUAACACACAGAAGGCCACCUGUACCCGUGUGUCAUUGUGACUGAUCGAUCCUAACAGUAUAAGCUUACCAGCCACAUACCCAGUAGUAUUUUCAUAAAUCCUCAUCAUCAUUAUGGUCAACUGCACAUGCUCAGUGUAAGCAUCAUAACACAGCUGUGAAGCCGCUGUGCAUCUCUGAGCUGAAUGGGAGAAGAAGCGGUUUUGGUCCAUUUGAUGAGUGAUGAAUCUGUGUUUCCUUUGUAAGGCUAGAGAUUGAAUCUGGGGCUUUCUAAGUUUUUAAGACUAAGAGGCAGAUUUAGUUUCUUUUUAGUAAGUUUGUUCUUUAUUCAGUUGGACAGGUAUUUUUUUUUUUGAAUUUUGAUAGCUGGUCAAUGUGUUAUUUGCAAGUGUUCCUUUUUCCUUUCUCUGUAGAAAGCAGGUUUUCACUGGCUGACCUUGAACUCCUGGGUUCAAAUGGUCUUCCUAACGUCAGCUUCCUGAGUACCUUUUAAUUUUUUUUUUUUUAAAGCAGAACAAGCAUAUUUUUUCCCAAGAAGAGUGAGAACAUAUACCUAGGAGAUGGGGGCAUUCCAAGGGAGGGAUACAAGGGAUAUAAGAGAUAAAGGGAUACAAGGUACAUUUUAAUAAAUGUACCUAGGAGUUAUAAUAAAGCCUAGGUUCUCUAUGACUGAAUAGUGUACUCUGGAUCACUUAUUAGUAAAUUUAACCCUGCAAAAUACAUGGCUAAAGUGUAUACAUAUUUAUAAAUAGCUCUCUUGUGUAUUUUAAAUAUUUUUAGCACUUCCCCAUCCAUUUCUAUUUUUGUGGAGUUAAAUAUGCUAUAUAUUGGUAACUGUUCGGUAAGCUCCAGAGAAGAAUAUUCUGAGGCUUUGGUCAAAAUCUGUAAAGUGAAACACUGACAGUGCCAAUCUUGUGUAAGUUUGUUGCUGUGUGGUUUGUAUGUAGCGUUUUUAUACCACUUUCUGUGCACACAGUAAGCGAGUUGGGGCCUUUGUUAGUAAAGAUAAUAUUACAAUGACUUAUACUGCUAUAGACAUAGCUUGGGGUUUAUGUCUCCAAUUUCCUCAUUUCUAAGAUUCAUGCGGAAAAAAAAAUCUUUUACAAAGGAUAUUCAAACAUGUCAGCUUGCUAUGUAAAUUAGGGGUGUAAAACCACACUCCUUUUUACCUGCAUAUAAAAUUACUGUCAAACUGUGAAUCCCUGAAUGUGUGCUUGUAGUUAAUCUAUAUUUUCACAGGGUAAUUUAAAUUUAGUAUAUGUGCAGUGAGUGUAUAUAUGUAUAUUUUGAAGUAAUAUAAAAUUAAAGGGAACAAUCUUGUGGCGCAUUUAUCAGCUAGCUGUAAAUUAUUGAUAUAUUUAUCUCUAAGGACACUCAAUAACAUUGAGUGUCAAAUUCUCUGUAAUAAAGAUUCAGUUGUUACUGGUAGAUAACCACUAUGGAUUACAAAUAAAUAUGGGGGCCAGUAUUGGUGGCCUCUACCUAUAAUCUCAGGACUUAAGGAGGAGACAAGAGAAUCGGGAUGGUAACUUUGAAAUUAGCCUGAGCUACAGAGCAAGUUCCACGGUAGCCUGAGCCACAGCUUGUCUCCCCGAACAAAGUAUCAGCAACAAAUGGCUGUAAGAGACAUUUUAUUAGGUGUCACGUAUGUGGAUAACCAAAGAACAGAGGCAGACAUAUCGUUGUGUGGUAAUUCGAAUAUAAAGUUAUGGGAUAUGAGAAGAACAGGAAAUGUCAAAAGUGACUUGGAAUUUUAUGGCAGAAAACAAAGGAAAAAUAAUGAAAUAUAUAUACCUUCAAGUCUGACAUGUUUUCUGCCUUUAACUUUUGUUUAAAAUAUUUAGUAGAAAUAAAGAAUAAGUUCUCAAUAAAGAAUUUAAGGGGGCUGGUGAGAUGGCUCAGUGGUUAGGAGCACCCGACUGCUCUUCCGAAGGUCCAGAGUUCAAAUCCCAGCAACCACAUGGUGGCUCACAACCAUCCGUAACAAGAUCUGACUCCCUCUUCUGGUGUGUCUGAAGACAGCUACAGUGUACUUACAUAUAAUAAUAAAUAAAUCUUUAAAAACUAAAAUUAAAUUAAAUUAAAAAAAAAAGAAUUUAAGGUCUUUUCAUGGAUGUCAGUUGAAAGAAACAAUGCUUUUCCAGACAUGUUAGCUUACAUGUGCAGUUCCAACAUCUGGGGAGGCUGGGGCACAGUCAUCCUGAAUAGCAAGAGCCCAGGUCAAGGGACAAAAUACACGGAAGAGAGUAGAGGACGUGCUCACUGUCCGAGGAAGAAUGGGGAGACUAGCAGAGCUUAAAGGCCUUCUUGUUGAGUCUGGUGUUGAAAAGUUAUGAAAACAACGUGUUUGUUUGUUUGUUUGUUUGUUUUUUUGUUUGUUUUUUGGUUUUGGUGUUUUUUUUUUUUGGUGUUUUUUUUUUUUUUUUUUUUGGUUUUUCAAGACAGGGUUUCUCUGUGUAGCCCUGGCUGUCCUGGAACUCACUUUGUAGACCAGGCUGGCCUUGAACUCAGAAAUCUGCCUGCCUCUGCCUCCCAAGUACUGGAAUUAAAGGCAUGUGCCACCACAUCCUGGCUUGAAAACAACUUUUAAGAGUAUGGAGAACUUGUAAACUAAUAUGCACAACAAAAUUCUCAAACAUUAAAAAUGACAACGUGGUGUGUCUUAUUUGUUUCUGUUUUGUGUUCUUCACAUUGCUGGUCUCCCUCCCCCCUUUACUUUGAAACUAGGAUUGAGAAUGACCUUGUGAUGUUCAGAGGUUUGAGGGUCAUUCAUAGAUGAAGGCGAGUUCCAGACCUGACAAGGAGGAAUCUGUAGAUGAUGGCCUUGGGCGCAUUUGAGCCUGUUUCUUCUGGAAAAAGCUUUUGAUGGUGGCGGUGAGGUUAGGAGUGUGUAGGUGUGUGUUUAGACAGACUUGUUUUAACCUCCUGAGUGCUGAGAUUAUAGGCAUCUGCUUUCAUGCCUGAUUCUACCUGAAAGAAAUUUAAAGCCCAAAUUCAGUCACCCUUGAUUAAGCAUAAAAAGUGCUGCUCUCCAUAGGGACUGGGCUGCAUCCUUUCCUGUAGACUUUCUUAACACACAUUUGUUAAGAUCAAACCUGAUAAAACUACAUGUUAAUAUGAAAAAUACAUGUGUCUUUAUUUUCUAAGUUUUUGUAUUAAAAUGUAAUUUAAAGAGUAUAUUAUAAUCCUUUGUGAUAGUUUAUAAUCCUAAAUUCUUAAGUCUUUUGUCAAUUCAGAAGUAAAUGUGUCUUGCUUCCUGUCAGCUGUUCAUGUGUUAGGAUUCUUUGUGUCUCUUAGCUGCUUCAAAUCUAGGCUCUGGUCCUCAUCUGGGGUCAAAGGAUCCCUUAGGAGGGGUCAGUUUUGCUUCUGAUUGUUAUAUGACAUGAACUUUCCCAUAUUAUAUCAUUUAAUAAUUUUUAUUUUGAAGAGGUAAUAGCAUAUAAUCUAAAAUACAGAAAUUAUUUAAAAUUUGACUAUUAGUUAAUUUUCUAAGACUGGAUAUGGAAUUAAUCUCAUGGUAACAACAGGUUUUCAUGUUAUGAGAAUGUUUCAGGGUGGGACCUGGGGAGUUCAAGUUUGGAGUUAAAUAAACUCUAGCCAUGUGUUUGUGUUUUCCAUUACUGUGAGGGUUCCCCAUAUUCCUGUGCAUGUAAAACACAGGGCCAUAAGAUUUGGGCUGUUCCCUUACUUUCAAUUUCUUAGUUUUCAUUAUGAGAAUGGCUUAAGCAGGAAUAGCAAGUUGUGUUUAACAAGAUGAAGAAACCAAAUGUUGACUUGCCUGCUGCUUUUGGCAGCUGGAAUAAGACCAGUAGUUUCUGUGGCAGCUCACACUGAUUGUCUCAUGGUUGGAAUGGCCCAUGGUGUCACAGAAUUCUGGACUGUGGGAACUCAGAUGUGUCCCACCACUGAGAGCGAGUGACCUGUGGUUGGGUUCCAGUGCAAAAGUCACCACUGUGGUAUAACCUGAAUUAACUGAAUUUCUGCUGCAUUUCUCUUGUGACUAUUUCUUUCAUAAUUUGCCAAAGUACUACUUGGUAUAGUAUGUUUGUAGUGAGUUUGACUAUUGUUUUAAAUGAAUGUGCUAGAAUAACUGUGAACAAACUAAAAUUACCUGUUUCAAUGUUGAAAACAUCUUAAUAAAGUGCACAUUAUAAACUC